rnacentral:rRNA from 1 species
UACGAAGGGGGCUAGCGUUGCUCGGAAUCACUGGGCGUAAAGGGUGCGUAGGCGGGUCUUUAAGUCAGGGGUGAAAUCCUGGAGCUCGACUCCAGAACUGCCUUUGAUACUGAGGAUCUUGAGACCGGGAGAGGUGAGUGGAAUUCCCAGUGUAGCGGUGAAAUGCGUAGAUAUUGGGAGGAACACCAGUGGCGAAGGCGGCUCACUGGACCGGUACUGACGCUGAUGCGCGAAAGCGUGGGGAGCAAACGGG